GAACCCACUUCGGUUGAAAACGGAGGGGAUGACCCGUGGAUAGGGGUGAAAGGCCUAUCAAACCCGGAGAUAUCUCGUUCUCCCCGAAACAGCUUUAGGGCUGGCCCCGGGCAUUGACCAUCGGAGGUAGAGCACUGGACCGGCGAGGGGGCCUCACCGCCUACCGACCCAGACCAAACUCCGAAUGCCGAUGGUUUUAACCCCGGGAGUCAGAGCGCGUGGGCUAAGCUGCGCGCUCGAGAGGGAAACAGCCCAGACCGCCCGCCAAGGCCCCAAAGGCCGUGCUAAGUGGCAAAGGAUGUGCGCCCGCCCAGACAACCAGGAUGUUGGCUUAGAAGCAGCCAUGCAUUCAAAGAGUGCGUAACAGCUCACUGGUCGAGUGGGGGCGCGCCGACAAUGCGCGGGGCUCAAGCACGGCGCCGAAGCGGCGGAAUCGAUUAAUUCGAUUGGUAGGGGAGCUUUCCAUGCCGGGCGAAGCCGGAGGCGCGAGCCCCGGUGGACGGCAUGGAAGUGAGGAUGCAGGCAUGAGUAGCGAGAGAGCGGCGAGAAACCGCUCCGCCGAAAACCCAAGGUUUCCUGGGCGAGGCUAAUCCCCCCAGGGUCAGCCGGGAGCUAAGGCGAGGCCGCGAGGCGCAGCCGAUGCACGACGGGCAGACAUUCCCGUGCCGGCGCGGGCGCGCUACGACCGAUGGGACGACGGGGAAGGAUACGCGAGCGGGGUUCUGGACGUCCCCGUGAAAGCGCGUAGGGAGGGGCCCAGGGAAAUCCGGUCCCCACACAUCCCGAGACGCGAGACGAGCCGCACGGCGAAGUCGCGGAUUCCAUGCCUCCUAGAAAAAUCCCUAGGCAGCGCCCACGCCGCCCGUACCAAAACCGACACAGGUGGGUAGGAAGAGCAUUCCGAGGCGAUCGGGGCAACCAUGGUCAAGGAACUCGGCAUAAUCGUCCCGUAACUUAGGGAGAAGGGACGCCCCCCAGCGUGUACCGGCUCGCCCGGGAAGCGCCGGGGGGCCGCAGCGAAAGGGCCCAAGCGACUGUUUACCAAAAACACAGGACUCUGCCAAGCCGCGAGGCGAAGUAUAGGGUCUGACGCCUGCCCGGUGCCGGAAGGUCACGGGGAUCCGUUAGCCUUUGGCGAAGCGGUGAACCCAAGCCCCGGUAAACGGCGGCCGUAACUAUAACGGUCCUAAGGUAGCGAAAUUCCUUGUCGGGUAAGUUCCGACCUGCACGAACGGCGCAACGACUUGGGCGCUGUCUCGACCAUGGGCCCGGCGAAAUUGCAUUAUCCGUGAAGAUGCGGAUUCCCCGCGGAAGGACGGAAAGACCCCGUGAACCUUUACUGCAGCUUGGCAUUGGCCGCAGGCGCGGCGCGUAGAGGAUAGGCAGGAGGCUGCGAAGCCCGGGCGCCAGCCCGGGCGGAGCCGACCUUGGAAUACUGCCCCCGUCGCGUCGGCGGCCUAACCCGGGGACGGCCCGGGGACCGUGCCAGGCGGGCAGUUUGACUGGGGCGGUCGCCUCCCAAAGAGUAACGGAGGCGCGCGCAAGGUCCGCUCAGGACGGUCGGCAACCGUCCGCGGAGCGCAAGAGCACAAGCGGGCCUGACUGCGAGGCAGACAAGCCGAGCAGGGACGAAAGUCGGCUCUAGUGAUCCGGCGGCCCCGAGUGGAAGGGCCGUCGCUCAACGGAUAAAAGGUACUCCGGGGAUAACAGGCUGAUCUUGCCC
rnacentral:rRNA from 1 species